CUAUAAGAAGGAACUAAAACUAGCAAAUCUGUUCGGCUGCACAAGAUCAGGACUAGCUAAACCUUUCCUCUUCCCUCCCAGCCGCAUCCUCGCCCCACUGUCACCCAGCUAUGUGCCUGUUCCCCAUCUGUCUUAUCUCCUCCCUCUCCACUACCUGUCCCCACUAAACUCUGCUCAGUGAGCAGCAGACUCCUCUCAAGAUUGUCAAUCUCCCUCAGUGUUACAAUUUGCCUCUCCAGAUCUCUAAUCUGAGCUUCCAGAAAAGCCACUCGCUCACACCCACCACAGAGGUAUGGACCCUGGACAGAAUCAUCCAGGCAUGCAUGCAUACAUAAAAACAAAAUAAAGAGUAAGCGCUAAAUAACAGAUGGGCAGCAACCCUAUAAGGGAAUCCCUCAAACACCCUUAAGAAGUAAAACUGGAAAGUAGAAUAACAGAUAAGGGCUGCGCCAG